CGCUGAUAAAAAUCCAGUUUUUAUCCAUUUAGAAAGACAGAGGUCUUCGUUCUAUCAAAUUAUUUUUGAUGAUAGGAAUUGCGAAUUGAGGAUGAGCACCGUCAAAAUUAAUCUAGAUUUGAAGUAUUAUAAAAUUAAAUUUUAUAAUUUUAAAAAAGUAUUAUGAAAUUAAAGUAUAUAAUUUUUAUUUUUUUUAUUUUUUAGUUAUUGAUUAAAAUGCCAUAAAAAUCGAUAAUUUUUUAAGGUCUAUAUAAAUCGUUUGUUCGUUUAAUGAUGAAGAAAAAUAUAAAUCACUUAAAAUUUUGACAUAAAAUUUUUUCUUAUUUUUAGAUAUUGUUUGAAAACUCGGAUCUUUAAUUUAGAAAGUCUAACCUUCAAUUUCACAAGAUUAUUCAUUUCGACUGAUUAUUUUUUAUUUCUUUGAUAGACUUAGCAAAACCCGGUUUCAUAUUAAAUUUUAAUGGUGCUGAUUAUUAAUUUAAAGUAGCGAUUAUGAAAAUCACCUGAUAAGGGAAAGAUCUUUGUCUUCUUUAAGAGGAUAAUAUUAGAACUCUUUUAAUAAUAUUAACUCAUCAGCUAUAUUUUGAGAUAUAAAGGUAUGAUAGCGUUACUCAUAAAAAAAUAAAAAGAAUAAAUUGCAAGUUUGCUACAACUUUAAGAUUUGUUGCAAUCAAGUUUUAUAAUCUAAUUUAGUUGACUAAACAUUGAUGUUUCAUUAGCAAUCGGUGAUGUUCCAAAAAUUAAAAAGUCACAUUAUGUUUACACCAACAGCGUGUCAAUAUUCAAUCAACUAAAUUAGAUUGUGUAACUUUAUUGCAACAAUUUUAUACGUAAAAUUCAAAAAUUAUAACAAAUUAAAGUUUAAAUAAUAAAAAAUCACUCGCCUUAUAAUUUGAGAACCAUGCAUAGAAUUUACUCGAAAAAUAAUAAUAAUAAUAAUAAUAAUUGUUAUUUGGAAUUGGUUGGACCUUUAUUU
rnacentral:lncRNA from 1 species